rnacentral:rRNA from 1 species
AGCGCAGGCGGUUUUUUAAGUCUGAUGUGAAAGCCUUCGGCUUAACCGAAGAAGUGCAUCGGAAACUGGGAAACUUGAGUGCAGAAGAGGACAGUGGAACUCCAUGUGUAGCGGUGAAAUGCGUAGAUAUUAGGAGGAACACCAGUGGCGAAGGCGACUUUCUGGACUGUAACUGACACUGAGGCUCGAAAGCAGGUAGUGAACG